AGAGGGAAAGAGGUCGGCAGGGCGAGGAGCUGCUAUGGUGCUGAGUUUCCUGGUAGAGCCGGCCGAGCCGAGGCGGUCGCGGCCAUGAAGGUGGGGGAGUGGUGCUAAGGAUCAAGUAUACUGUUAAAAGAAAACAAAAACCCAAGCAUGAGGAAGGCGGGUGCCACGUCUAUGUGGGCUUCGUGCUGUGGGCUGCUGAAUGAAGUCAUGGGAACUGGAGCUGUCAGGGGCCAGCAGUCAGGAUUUGCAGGAGCCACCGGUCCAUUCAGAUUUACACCAAACCCUGAGUUUUCCACCUACCCACCAGCAGCUACGGAAGGGCCCAACAUAGUUUGUAAAGCCUGUGGACUUUCGUUUUCAGUCUUUAGAAAGAAGCAUGUUUGCUGUGACUGCAAGAAGGAUUUUUGCUCCGUUUGUUCAGUCUUACAAGAAAAUCUCCGUAGAUGUUCUACUUGUCACUUAUUACAAGAGACAGCAUUUCAGCGCCCUCAGUUAAUGCGACUGAAGGUGAAGGACCUGCGGCAGUAUCUCAUUCUGAGAAAUAUACCCACAGAUACUUGUCGUGAGAAAGAAGACUUGGUGGAUCUAGUACUGUGCCAUCAUGGACUAGGCUCUGAGGAUGACAUGGACACAAGCAGUCUGAAUUCUUCAAGGUCCCAGACUUCUAGCUUUUUUACACGUUCGUUUUUUUCAAACUAUACAGCCCCCUCUGCUACUAUGUCUUCGUUUCAGGGAGAGCUUAUGGAUGGAGACCAGACAUCCAGAUCUGGAGUGCCGGCACAGGUACGAGGGGUAACUAAUUACACCCAGGGCCCAGCAUGCUUACUCUUGGCUGUAUAUGGCGGGGCCUUUAGUGCUUGACGACUUCUGAUAAACUUCAAGUCAUGUGCUGGAGUGGAGCUUCCACACCCAGCUGAACUCUGCACUUAAAGGCUGUCCUGAUGUAUAGUGUCUGCUGAGGUACUAGGUGGCUCCAAAGUCUGCUGUCUGAAGGGUCCCAAAAUAGCUCAUCAGUCUCUUGGCCUUAGUUAAUUUCUCUGUCUUAUACAGUUAGACACUAACUGUUGAAGAAAUGGCUGUGAAAAAGUAGCACAUACACAUUUGUAGUGUUAUGUGUUAGUACAAGUGUUUCAGUGACCACAGAAAACAAUCAGUAGUGUAAGUUAGCCUAAUGCCCAUUUGUCUUGCUACAGUGAAAUUGUUCUAAUUUAAUGAAAGCGCCAUCUGAAUUAGUGAAAAACUGUAGUUAUUUACUAAUUGUAAUUAAUAAUAUUGUCCCAAUGAGGUCCUUGGGCAUCCUGAUUGAAUAACGUGUAAGGGCUUGUAAUUAAUAUUUACUUGUACGUGAGUGAUUCUAAACUGCUGAAAGAAAUGUUUUGAACAAAUUUUUUCACACUUAAUUUUCUUCUCUGAAGAAGGGGAUUAUUAAAAGUAGAGGAAAGCUGCAUGCGGUGGUGUGAGCCUUCAGUCUGAUACUUGGGAGGCUGAGGCAGGAGGAUUGCUUUAGUUCAGGAGUACAAGGCUGCAGGUGUACCAUGAUUGCAACUGUGAAUAGCCACUAUGUACCCCCAGCCUGGGCAACAUAGCAAGACUUUUUUUUUUUUUUUUUUUUUGGA
rnacentral:sRNA from 1 species